AUUGAACGCUGGCGGAAUGCUUUACACAUGCAAGUCGAACGGUAACAGGCUAAGCUGACGAGUGGCGAACGGGUGAGUAAUACAUCGGAACGUGCCCAGUCGCGGGGGAUAACGUAGAGAAAUUUACGCCAAUACCGCAUACGAGCUAAGGAUGAAAACGGGGGACCGUAAGGCCUCGCGCGAUUGGAGCGGCGGAGGUCAGAUUAGGUAGUUGGUGGGGUAAAGGCCUACCAAGCCGACGAUCUGUAGCUGGUCUGAGAGGACGACCAGCCACACUGGGACUGAGACACGGCCCAGACUCCUACGGGAGGCAGCAGUGGGGAAUUUUGGACAAUGGGCGCAAGCCUGAUCCAGCCAUUCCGCGUGCAGGAUGAAGGCCCUCGGGUUGUAAACUGCUUUUGUACAGAACGAAAAGGUCUGGGUUAAUACCCUGGGCUCAUGACGGUACUGUAAGAAUAAGCACCGGCUAACUACGUGCCAGCAGCCGCGGUAAGAC
rnacentral:rRNA from 1 species